UGGGGAAUAUUGCACAAUGGGCGCAAGCCUGAUGCAGCGACGCCGCGUGAGGGAUGACGGCCUUCGGGUUGUAAACCUCUUUCAGUAGGGAAGAAGCGAAAGUGACGGUACCUGCAGAAGAAGCACCGGCUAACUACGUGCCAGCAGCCGCGGUAAUACGUAGGGUGCGAGCGUUAUCCGGAAUUAUUGGGCGUAAAGAGCUCGUAGGCGGUUUGUCGCGUCUGUCGUGAAAGGCCGGGGCUUAACCCCGGAUCUGCGGUGGGUACGGGCAGACUAGAGUGCAGUAGGGGAGACUGGAAUUCCUGGUGUAGCGGUGGAAUGCGCAGAUAUCAGGAGGAACACCGAUGGCGAAGGCAGGUCUCUGGGCUGUAACUGACGCUGAGGAGCGAAAGCAUGGGGAGCGAACA
rnacentral:rRNA from 1 species